UGGGGAUUAGUGUAACGGCAGCACGACUGAUUCUGGAUCAGUUAGUCAAGGUUCGAAUCCUUGAUCCCCAG
rnacentral:tRNA from 1 species